UUGUUUCAAAGUCUCGCGAGAACUGCAUCUCAGCAGCUGCAGUAUAACGUCAUCAUCAGCAGAUUAUGAGGCGAGAGUGAGCAGGGUAAUCCUUACACACCAUGAGCACCAAAUAAGACAUGGGCUCUUGAAAAUAUUACUUUCUCAGAAGCCUGCCUUCUGAAGUGUUGACACCUUGAUCACAUCAGAGAGGACCGAGAUAAUGGUUUCCUGUGGGCUCCAUCAACCGAAGACUAUUGGUGUUGGUGGUACUAUGCUCCUCUCCAGUUCAAGCCCCAUACAAGAGCACUAUCUGGAAGACAAAAACAGCAAUUAAUGAAGAGAAAACAUCAGAGGGGAAGGAGAAAGUCCACGACAUCAUCUCUUCAGACCUUUUAUGGAGCUCUCCAGUGGAGGGCUCAAAGCACUGGCCCACUUUCCCAUCGGAGCUUCCCACCAGCGCAGUCUUCACUCCCAUAGAGAACAGAAUAACACAUAGGGUUAAUGCAUUACAUACCAAAGCUCACAAAGUAAUCAUAGGUACUUACAGCAGUAAACAGAUUAAGUGGUAAUACUGACGAGCAAAUUCAUGCUAUCUUUGAAUACAACAAUAUAACAAAAAAUACAAAUACAAGUUUUUCCAACAUUGUUGAAAAACAGUACCCUGAAAAUUACUUAAAAUAAAGUGGCAAAACUGUAUUCAAAUAUUUAAUAUUACUUUAAUGCAAAUCAGCUACUACAAUUAGUGCUCCCUUAUUAAAAAAAUGUCUAAAAAUAUACACAUUAAAUAAAAAUAGAAGUAUUUUUCAGUAAUGGCUAUAUUAGAUAUGACAGCACACUAUAAAUUAAGGGAGAGUAAGGACUAUUUAAUAGGUGCAUGCAGGCACAUGCAGGCCGCAAAGAGAAUCAGAGCAGCAGUAGUAAUCAGUAGUAAUAAUUAUUUCAUGAUUACCAGAUUUUGUCAUAGGACAAAAAAAGGGUUGGAGCUCAGUGUUUCAAAUAUAAACACAUUGGGAAAAGAAAAAACUGGAGAUGGUGGUACAGAGGGUGGUAGAGUGAGUGGAUAGUAGUUCAAAACCAGGCCUGAGACAGAAGAAGCGCAGAGGCGGGUGAUGUAGCACAUUGUGUGGGUGAGCAGAGCACAUGCAGAGGAGUGAGAUUGAUGGAGGGGAAGUACCAGCAACAGUACAGACAAAUGGCUAGUGAAAGGUUUUUGAUAUUUUGUAUAGCCAAAUCAGCUUCACAAAUACAAUUACAGUAAGGGCUUUUAUCAAAUUUAUAGCUAAAGUAAGUCUUGGCCUUCUAUAUUGUAAAAUGUAUAGUUCUAGUGGAAAUGAAAAAAUGCAUUUCAAAAGCACAAAACAUCAGUUCUGUUUUGUAUGUUAUAUAAACUCUAACUUUGUCCUUAAUAUUCUGGAUAAAAAGACAAUGUAUAUGUUGCAUAAUUGAGGUCAUGGAGUAUUAUCCAGAGGCCCCUUCAAGGCCUAAUGGGAGUUGACAAAGCAUGGGACAGCUGCAGGGAUUGUUGCUAUGUGGCAAAUGCCUGCUGAAAUAGCCAAAUUAAUGGAAGGGCUCAUGUCCAGUGCAGGGUUCAAUAUCAAGCUACAUUUGAGAACAACCAGAUUUAUUACUGUAACUUCAAACAUCAAUAUUUACCGCUGCCAUGUAACACAGACACACAAAAUGGAUUUAGCAUGUAUUUUUCUUUGAAUAUCACCACUGAAAAUUUUGCAAAGCAUUUUAUCAAACUUUAAAAUACUGCAUUAUUUUCAACAAUCAAAUUGUAUUUUUUUCCUUUUGGCUAUUUCUUUUCAUAGGUUGUCACACACCUCCAUAUAACCAUGAAUCUGGUAAUUCACAAACCUCAAUAAAUCUCCCACCUCUGUCUAAACAAAAGCACUAGCCAAUUUGGGCCCUCUAUUCCCUAAUAUACCAAAAUAUGUGACAUAAACUGCACGUGUUAGUAUGAUUCCUGUAUCUUAAAAUGCUCCCUAACAGAACUUCAAUGCCUUCAACAUGGUAACCACUUAGCCUCUUGUCUUGUUACUCACAUCAAUUGCUGACAAAUGCAUAUAGCGUAAAUAAUAAUUCACUGAUGCUAAAAUAAUGCUUGUAGAUGGUCGUUAUUGAAUCGCAAUAUUUUUUCCGUGUCCCAAUAACAGACAAUAUUACAUUAUCAAUAUGACAGAAAUGUGGUAAAAUAUGUCAAAUGUAUUAGUUGAGGUUUAAGGAUCAGAUAAAUGUGAAAUGGCUGUAACUUUACCAAUAAAAAUACAAAAAUAUCACUUUA